rnacentral:rRNA from 1 species
UACGAGGGGGGCAAAUGUUGUUCGGAAUUACUGGGCGUAAAGGGCGCGUAGGCGGCCGAUUAAGCCGGGGGUGAAAGCCUGUGGCUCAACCACAGAAUUGCCUUCGAUACUGGUUGGCUUGAGACCGGAAGAGGACAGCGGAACUGCGAGUGUAGAGGUGAAAUUCGUAGGUAUUCGCAAGAACACCAGUGGCGAAGGCGGCUGUCUGGUCCGGUUCUGACGCUGAGGCGCGAAAGCGUGGGGAGCAAACAGG